UGCGCAGGCGGUUUUGUAAGCCAGAUGUGAAAUCCCCGGGCUUAACCUGGGAAUGGCAUUUGGGACUGCAAGGCUUGAGUUUGGCAGAGGAGACUGGAAUUCCUGGUGUAGCAGUGAAAUGCGUAGAUAUCAGGAGGAAUACCGAUGGCGAAGGCAGGUCUCUGGGCUAUAACUGACGCUCAUGCACGAAAGCGUGGGGAGCAAACA
rnacentral:rRNA from 1 species